CGUGAGGUCCUCCCCCAGCGCUGCCAUUGAGGAGCAUUGAGUCAGUGAGUGGGAGAGGUUUGUUUGAGACAGGCCGCAAUGGAGAGACCAGCGCACAGGGAAGCGAGGGAACAGCAGGCUCCUUCCAGCAGCGCAUCGAGAUGCAAAUACUUGAUGGGCCAAGACUGUGUCAUAUUUCAUCAGUACAGCAUCUACCAGCUGCUCCAACCAAACAGCAGACAAACACUGGAAGGACCAGGACAAUGUAACAUUGCUUCAGAUCAAAGCCAAGUGUGACCAGCUCAUUAUAAUAAACAGCAGGUAUGUUCCCACUGUCAGAGUAGAGAACAUCCUUUCUACAGUCACGGAGCGGAUCGAGUCAGUCACACAUUGAGCUUAAUUUCCAACAGAUCUGUUCAAACCAACAGUAAGACAGCACAUAAAAAAUGCAAUUUUAUUUUUCUUUGCUCUCCAUUCAAAAUGCCCAGUUCCAAUAAGUUUCACCAUUCAUAGCCCAUUGAUAUUUACACCAUUUUUAAGGUGGAUAGACCUCCUUGUCCAAAGUAUACACGCAGAAAUUGAAGAAAAUCUACAUAAAAUGACUCUAAUAACAUCUAUCACAUUAUGAAUCACAUCUCAACCCAUAAAAUUACUGAUUGCUGACAAUUAAACCACUUUUAGAAGUAGAAAGCAACAAACAUGGAUCGAUAUCUAACCUUUCAGAUUCAUAUUAUGCAAACAGACCAAAAAAGAUUGAUGAGUCUCUCAUAUUGACUUUGCAGUAACUGACAGGUAAAGAUUGAUGAAAAUAUUCGCAUAGCCAAAACUGGCAUGCACACAUUAAUAACCACGCUCACAUUCACACAGCAAACUGACAGCAACUGAACAAUAACUACGCUGUCAUAUCCACAUUAUCAUAUUGAUGAUAACACUCUCAAUUUCACAAAGCAUGAAGUGAUAGGUACAAAUUUGUAACUGCACUCACAUAUCCGCAGAUUUGAAAAAUACUGACAGGCACAGUUUGAUCGUUGUCCUCAAAUAUUUGCAAAGUAGAUUCUCACGGGUACAUAAUGAUAC